UACGUAGGGUGCGAGCGUUGUCCGGAAUUAUUGGGCGUAAAGAGCUCGUAGGCGGUCUGUCGCGUCUGCUGUGAAAUCCCGAGGCUCAACCUCGGGCCUGCAGUGGGUACGGACAGACUAGAGUGCGGUAGGGGAGAUUGGAAUUCCUGGUGUAGCGGUGGAAUGCGCAGAUAUCAGGAGGAACACCGGUGGCGAAGGCGGGUCUCUGGGCCGAUACUGACGCUGAGGAGCGAAAGCGUGGGGAGCGAACAGG
rnacentral:rRNA from 1 species